GACGAACGCUGGCGGCGUGCUUAACACAUGCAAGUCGAACGGAGAGGCCCUGCUUUUGUGGGGUGCUCGAGUGGCGAACGGGUGAGUAACACGUGAGUAACCUGCCCUUGACUUUGGGAUAACUUCAGGAAACUGGGGCUAAUACCGGAUAGGAGCUCCUGCUGCAUGGUGGGGUUGGAAAGUUUCGGCGGUUGGGGAUGGACUCGCGGCUUAUCAGCUUGUUGGUGGGGUAGUGGCUUACCAAGGCUUUGACGGGUAGCCGGCCUGAGAGGGUGACCGGCCACAUUGGGACUGAGAUACGGCCCAGACUCCUACAGGAGGCAGCAGUGGGGAAUAUUGCACAAUGGGCGGAAGCCUGAUGCAGCAACGCCGCGUGCGGGAUGACGGCCUUCGGGUUGUAAACCGCUUUCGCCUGUGACGAAGCGUGAGUGACGGUAAUGGGUAAAGAAGCACCGGCUAACUACGUG
rnacentral:rRNA from 1 species